GAGUUUGAUCGUGGCUCAGGACGAACGCUGGCGGCGUGCCUAACACAUGCAAGUCGAACGAGAAUUUAAUUAAUGAACCUUCGGGGGAAUUAAUUGAAGGACAGUGGCGGACGGGCGAGUAACGCGUGAGUAACCUGCCCAUAAGAGAGGGAUAGCCUAUGGAAACGUGGAGUAAUACCUCAUAUUGUAUUUUAAUCGCAUGGUUGAAAUAUGAAAGAUUUAUCGCUUAUGGAUGGACUCGCGUCAGAUUAGAUAGUUGGUGAGGUAACGGCUCACCAAGUCGACGAUCUGUAGCCGAACUGAGAGGUUGAUCGGCCGCAUUGGGACUGAGACACGGCCCAGACUCCUACGGGAGGCAGCAGUGGGGAAUAUUGCGCAAUGGGGGAAACCCUGACGCAGCAACGCCGCGUGCAGGAAGAAGGUCUUCGGAUUGUAAACUGUUGUCGCAAGGGAAGAAGAAAGUGACGGUACCUUGUGAGAAAGUCACGGCUAACUACGUGCCAGCCGCCGCAG
rnacentral:rRNA from 1 species